CGUCAAAAUGGCGUCUCGCACGCCUGUGAUGGAAAUUUUUUUGUCGCGAGUUUACGUUGAAGUGCACCGCGCUGGUUCCUCGAUCGCAACGUACGCCACCGGUCAAGAAACGGCAACCGUAUGCUUUUCCCGAGCCCGCAGUCUCCUCUACGCGAAAUACCUCCCGAGAUUGAGCGCGUUUAGCAUAAUUAUAAAUGAACCGUGUUUACACAAAAUGAUCUAUCUUAUCUGGGUACGCGCAUAGCCUAGCUGGUGAGCACAUAAAGCGGGCGCUAGGCAAGAAACGCGCUUGUCAUAAUCUCCGCGCGUCGAUGGUUUCAUAACACUCGUCGUCGCACUGUCGAGGCGACCUGAUAGUCAGGUUGCUCAAUGACCCGUAUAUCGAUUAAAAAAGCGAGUCGUUUCCCCUCUCUGCUAUGCAAACGCUGACGGCUCCCUCGCUCCCCGUUGGCCGCUGAUGAAAUUUGAGCUGGGCGGUUUCGAGCGGCGCAAAAGGCAGCUUGCUGCGGUUGCGUCCUGUCUGCUAAUCACCUGUUGAAGAGCACAUGGUGUAUUCCAUAAAGUCAAGUAUCGACAACGAAUGCAGCGACACUUUGAAGACAUUGUAGGAUCACAUAUCCAUUGUCGUUGUUUAGCACACUGCUGCCACUUCUUUUAACUGUCCCCGAACUUCCUGUAAACUUUGCAGAUUUUGGCUAGUUCUGCAGUCUUAUGAGUGUUGCACCGUCUCAGCAAAAAUACAUCCUCCAAAAUGUUUCGCAAGUGUUGAAUAACAUAGCAGCUCAAGAUUGCAAGCAACACGUGCAAAAAAUAACUUCUGAUCCUUCCUGCGCUGCUAGUUUGUGGCAGUACGAGAUUUCAAUACCACUUUAAAUGGUUGUGCAUUGACUGUGGAGUGGCAGUGCAAACUCCGUCAUGCUCUUUCUCUCCCACUACCAAUGUGUUGCUUGUCAGUCUCUGCUGUUCAGUUUCCUUCAUCGAAACAUGAUUGUUAUUAAUGAAAGUGUGUUCUACAAAAUUUAGGACACGAAGCAAGCUUCCUUCUUAAUUUGCCUUCUAACCUUUCUCCCCUUGUUUUCCUGGUAUUUUUUAUGAAUGUAACCUAACCUAAUCUAAACCAAACUGCACUGGUUCACAGCUAUGCUGUUUGUAGCUGACAGGUUCGGGAAUCACUGUUGACUUCUGUGUGAGUGUGAACAUUCUUUGGGCUGUGUCAGCAAAACUGUUUCUUCUUGUGAAAUGUACUUAGCGCUGGUGAAGUGAUAUGACAGUGUUAUCGAUCAUCUUGAGUACGAACUGUGUGUGCUCUGAAAUUGUUUGCCUCGUUUCGUUGACAGUGUUAUUGAAGCCUGCAUGCGUACAUUUAUUUUCCUUUGCAGCUACUUCCACGAAAAUUGUGUAGUUUUAGAGGGGUGCUCCCUCAGUUUCGUAGCACCACUUAAACCAAAUAACUUCAGAAACAUGUCGAAGACCAAGCCAUUCAUAUAAGACGGUCGUGGCUAUCCAUGCUCUGCACUGGAACACUUUGAAGCGGGGAUAAGAGUUUUGAUUGAGAGCUAGCAGCUUUAUAGGGGCACGAUCUGCAGCACAUGUGGUUGUUGGUUUAAGGCUUCUUGUCUCUGCACAAGAUGUCCUUUAAACCUUUUAGAGUGUUUCUUGAUGUUUUCCUAUUGUAAUGAUGCC
rnacentral:lncRNA from 1 species